CCCUGACCUAAAAUAAACGCCGGGCAAUACAAACUAACGUUUAAAACUCAAAGAUCUUGGCGGUGCCUUAUAUAAUCAGGGGAACCUGUCCCUUAAUUCGAUAAUCCACGAAUGCGUUAGCCUCACUUGAAAAUCAGCCUGUGUACUGCCGUCGCAAGUAUACCUCAAAGAGCAAGUAUACAAUAAUAAUUCUAUAGACGUCAGGUCAAAGUGCAGCCUAUGUGAAGCUGGAGAUGGGUUACAUAUUAUAUAAAAAUCCAAUUCAAUGUAAAAAUAUUGAGCAAAGCUGGACUUGAAAGUAAUAAUUAAAACUAUGUAAUUAUGAAUUAGAAUCUAAGGCAUGCACACAUCGCCCGUCACUCUCGUCGAAAGAUG
rnacentral:rRNA from 1 species